GCCAGACUCCUACGGGAGGCAGCAGUGAGGAAUAUUGGUCAAUGGGCGGAAGCCUGAACCAGCCAAGUCGCGUGAGGGACUAAGGCCCUGCGGGUCGUAAACCUCUUUUGCCGGGGAGCAGUGGUCCGGACGCGUCCGGACCGGGAGAGUACCCGGAGAAAAAGCAUCGGCUAACUCCGUGCCAGCAGCCGCGGUAAUACGGAGGAUGCGAGCGUUAUCCGGAUUUAUUGGGUUUAAAGGGUGCGUAGGCGGAGUGUCAAGUCAGCGGUAAAAUUUCGGGGCUCAACCCCGUCGUGCCGUUGAAACUGACACCCUUGAGUGAGUGAGAAGUAAGCGGAAUGCGUGGUGUAGCGGUGAAAUGCAUAGAUAUCACGCAGAACGCCGAUUGCGAAGGCAGCUUACCAGCGCUCAACUGACGCUGAGGCACGAAAGUGCGGGUAUCGAACAGGAUUAGAUACCCCAGUAC
rnacentral:rRNA from 1 species